ACGCUCGACACCUACAGGAGGCAGCAGUGGGGAAUAUUGCACAAUGGGGGAAACCCUGAUGCAGCGACGCCGCGUGGAGGAAGAAGGUCUUCGGAUUGUAAACUCCUGUUGUUGGGGAAAAAGAGGAUGGUACCCAACAAAGGAAGUGACGGCUAACUACGUGCCAGCAGCCGUGGUAAUCUGAGCGGGCUGGCAAGGC
rnacentral:rRNA from 1 species